rnacentral:rRNA from 1 species
GACGAACGCUGGCGGCGUGCUUAACACAUGCAAGUCGAACGAAGAGCGACGGAAGCUUGCUUCUAUCAAUCUUAGUGGCGAACGGGUGAGUAACGCGUAAUCAACCUGCCCUUCAGAGGGGGACAACAGUUGGAAACGACUGCUAAUACCGCAUACGAUCUAAUCUCGGCAUCGAGGAUGGAUGAAAGGUGGCCUCUACAUGUAAGCUAUCACUGAAGGAGGGGAUUGCGUCUGAUUAGCUAGUUGGAGGGGUAACGGCCCACCAAGGCGAUGAUCAGUAGCCGGUCUGAGAGGAUGAACGGCCACAUUGGGACUGAGACACGGCCCAGACUCCUACGGGAGGCAGCAGUGGGGAAUCUUCCGCAAUGGACGAAAGUCUGACGGAGCAACGCCGCGUGAGUGAUGACGGCCUUCGGGUUGUAAAGCUCUGUUAAUCGGGGCGAAAGGCCUUCUUGCGAAUAGUGAGAAGGAUUGACGGUACCGGAAUAGAAAGCCACGGCUAACUACGUG